rnacentral:piRNA from 1 species
UGGAUUCUGAUUAUCUGGCCUUCAGAAAAGC